UAUUUUCUGUUUCCUAUUUUAAUGGUCUGCACAGUUAGAUUAACUAGAUUUUAGUGAUUUGAGACGUCUUAGCCUAAUGAUGCUAUCGUUGUCUCUGCACACGCAUGAGAAACCAAAAUGUACUUUUUUCAUUGCAAUAAUGACUUGGAUAGUUCUUGUUUGUUGGUUGGCAAAUAGAAUAUACUAGUGAAUGAAUGAGAGGAAAUGCUAGUGAAUGGUAAUAAAUGAGAAAAUACUUAAA
rnacentral:lncRNA from 1 species